rnacentral:rRNA from 1 species
ACGGGAGGCAGCAGUGAGGAAUAUUGGUCAAUGGAGGCAACUCUGAACCAGCCAUCUCGCGUGAAGGAAUACGGCCCUACGGGUCUUAAACUUCUUUUAUAGGGGGAUAAAGUGAGGCAUGUAUGCCUUUUUGUAGGUACCCUAUGAAUAAGCAUCGGCUAACUCCGUGCCAGCAGCCGCGGUAAUACGGAGGAUGCGAGCGUUAUCCGGAUUUAUUGGGUUUAAAGGGUGCGCAGGCGGCACGUUAAGUCAGCGGUGAAAUGCAGGGGCUCAACCCCGGCACUGCCGUUGAAACUGGCGAGCUCGAGUACGGAUGAAGUUGGCGGAAUGUGAUGUGUAGCGGUGAAAUGCAUAGAUAUCACACAGAACACCGAUUGCGAAGGCAGGAUACCAUACCAUAUCUGACGCUCAGGCACGGAAGCGUGGGGAUCGAACAGGAUUAGAUACCCUGGUA